rnacentral:lncRNA from 1 species
GGGAUGUCCUAGGGGUGGAUGUGUGUAGUGUACAGUCCAGCUGCACGCUGGGGAGAGGGUAUGUGGAAGUAGUGUUUGGGCAUCCGUGAGGGCAUUGGGGAGGGAGGUGGAAUCAGUGAUGAGUGUUUGUGUACAGCAGGAACCGUGUGUGUGAGCUGAGCACUUAGGUGCACACAUGUUGGCUGGUGGCUUUGGGUUUCCUCACAUCUGCAAGGCCUCCUUCCCCAUCUGCCUGUGGAUGACCCAGGCGACUGUAUCCCUCAUGCCCCCUUGGCCUUCUUUGCACAGUGCUGGAACUGUGAGUGCCAGGCGUGGGGCCUGCCUGGCCAUGAUGUGGCAGGUGCUCCUGUCUAUCCCCUCCCUGUCAGCCCCGUGUGUGUGUGUGUGUGUGUGUGUGUGUGUGUGUGUGUGUGGCCCGCCUACCCGCCUCUCUGGAUGCCAAGUGCUGUGUGCGUGUCACCAGGCCUGUGUCGUGCUGUGUGUGGGUGCAGGAAGGCGGGGGGUGCCUGGCAGGGCUCUGUUGGGGGUGGCGCUCGGGUAGGCGGCUGUCCGCAACAGUGCCCAGCAGCCAAUGUGGGAAGCAGUGCCUCCUGCCCUGGCGCCGCUCAGGGCCACCCUCUGGUUCCCUGUCCCUGCAGGGCGCAUGUACCAUGACGGCUGCCUUCCUGCACUUCUUCUUUCUGUCCUCAUUUUGCUGGGUACUCACUGAGGCCUGGCAGUCCUACCUGGCUGUCAUUGGGCGUGAUGCGCACCCGCCUCCUGCUCGCAAGCGCUUCCUCUGCCUGGGCUGGGGUCUGCCCGCCCUGGUGGUGGCUGUGUCUGUUGGCUUUACCCGCACCAAAGGAUAUGGUACAUCCAGCUAGUACGCGGGCCUCCCGGCAGGUGGGGGUAGGAUAAGGGAGUCUGUUAAGGGUUUGGCUUGGGCAUUAGGACUUAGAUCCUGGCUGAGAUCCUGGUCUAUACCUGUUGUAGGUCUUUGGGCAAGUUCCUCUCUAUCUCUGAGCCUCAGUUUCCCCAGCUAUAAAAAGAAGCUACUGGGAUUGGGGUAAUCUCAAAGAACACUGAACUCGGGUCAGCCUAUUUCAUUCCUAUGAUAGCCCCAGGAGCUGGACCUGAUGUUCUUGACUUUCGCUGGAGGGGAAACUGAGGCUCAGCAAAGGCCAAUGGCUCCAUCUCACCCCAUUGAGGCUGGAUCUCCAUUAGUGAUGUGGGCAUGGCAGCCCUGGGGAUCAAGGGGUGGUAUCUGAGGGCGGGAAGGGAGCCUGCUGGGUUUCUGACACCCCUUUUCUCCCCCCUACCCCAGCUGCUGGCUUUCCCUGAAGGUGGCCUGCUGUAUGCCUUUG